GUGUUACUUAUAUGAAAAUAUUUACAGUUGUUUUGCUGCAAAGUUCUCUUCAAUAGGAAGGAGAGUAAGUCAAAAACACAUACAUAUAAGUCUAGGUAUUUAUGACUAGUUAUAAACACAUCAACCCAUGUAUCCCAAUGUGGAGCUGUAAGUAUACUGCAAGAGACCCAGUCUGGCCGCCCCAGUGAGACAGUAAUGGCUGGUGGCCGUCGCUAAGACUAGGAUUCAUUUCCCUUGCCGAUUAAGGUCAUGUUUGGCGAAAAGGAGAUUAAAGUCGAAUAAAUAUCAAUAGAAUACAGAAAUUGAGUGUCAUGUCCAGUUGAAUCCCAGCAAAAAAUGUUGGCAUUGUAUAGUGUUGCUUUGCUUGGGUGCUCCAAAAGAAUUUUAAAAGAAAAAUGUCUUGAGAGAGAGGAGACCCGAGUUUUAGGACAUCAAGUUAAACACAACGCAGAGAGCAGAUUGAAUUAAUAAGAUUUUUCACUGCUAGCAAGUUGGGUAUACAUAUUUAGCUAUAACCCCUUCAUACAGGGUGACUGAAUCAUCAAAUUAAGGGCAAGAAAGGAUUAUAUAAUGAUUUGUCCUCUGUUUCUCCUGUACCGACGGGGAGACAUUUCCAUCUGCGACCAUGUUUUGCUGCCAUAGGCAAACAAGAAACUGGAGGCCACCCUUGUGACUAACGUGAUAUCUAGUACCGACCUCAGGGAAGCGCAAAGACGAACUUUGCUACAGGACGGGUAAAACAGUGUACUGCAACUGUGGUGUGGAGAACAGUUUAUCGGAACUGUUGUAUUCUAUAACGGUCGCUAACCUCCUGACUAUGUUGUAAUAGUCCAGGACUCUGACUGGCACCCCCAACUUACAACUUUUUGUACUGAUAUAUUAAUCCAGGAGAAUCCAGCAGUUUUUUUGUGUUUCUGCUAGCUAAAUUUGAUCCCGUCUCCUGUCAGGUGGACCUAUUUGUGUUGGCCUCGCAGUUCUGGCGACAUUAGUUGUAACGGUUGAUCUAACUUUUGGCACACAAACUAUAAUUCUGAAUAGACUGAGCUGGAUUUCACCGUGGUCAAGUGGCGGCCUGAACCAUUUUCAGAUUGUUCGCUUUCCGUUCUGCAUAAUGUGAGAUUAUUGUGGCAAUGAUCAAGAUUUGACCAAAAAAUCUGUCCCAUACCUCUCAGAUCAAUACAUAGUUUAUAAUUCUCUAGCAUAAUUUCACACUGAAGGUGAGGGUGAGGAACAAUGCCCAAAUUAUGAGCAAUGCACCCUUCUUUGUAAUGACAGUAAUAUGUUAUGAACCCUGAUCAUGCUUAUAUAUGAAUUUCUGUGUAAGGAGAGAUUACUGGAGAAUAGUGUCAGCAAUCGAACAUUGUGGCUCCUUUUCAUUUUAGUAUGCUCUGUCUUUGAUUACUUUAUGUAUCUCUUAUGCAAGGAGUAUCAACAUAUUAUCGUGUGAUAAUUGAUCAAUUUAUGACUGAAGUGUUAAGAUUUUCAUAUCUUUGCAUCUUACUGAAGAAUAUGCUGGCUGCAAUCAAAACAACGUGUCCAGCAGAACUGGAAACCAUGAAAACUUUGGAAUGCGAAGGAAAUCAACCUGGGGCUACUUUAUACCUGCAAAAUAGGUCAAAGGAUAUUAUAGGAGUAGAAGCCAAUUAUGCUUUGAAGCUUGCAGACAACCCUCCAAAGAGAUUUAAGUUGGAUGAACAUGAAGUAGCAAUGCUGGGUAAAAAGCGAGCCAGGCGAACUGUGAUAAUUAAUGAUGAGGACGUAAAGCAAGCUGGCAUAAUGACAAUAUCAACACCCCAGGCUAGUGUCUCGUGGUGCUGGUGAAGGAGCUGCAGAAACACAAAACCAGCUGGUCAUCGGGGACCAGCGGCAAUUUGAAAUGAUGGGUUCAGAAUGAAGUAAUUCUGCCAGCCCAAGUGACCGAAAUGCUGAAUCCAAUGGGGUUGUCGAGUUCGUAUCUCAGGCGUGGUAAAAGAAAAUGAUUGCUGAAGGACCAACAAUCUCUACCAACCAGGCCUCUUUGAGGCAUACCAUGGAUUCCAAGCAGAUGAAGGGGCAACCAGUCUCUUGUCGGAGAGCAGAGAUAACAGGACAGAACACUUCAGAUCAGAAACGAGCCAACAGGAGGUCUCUUUGUUUCCAAGAAAGAAGCUUCAGUAACUAAUGCUCAGUAUCAUGACACAUCUAUUGAACCACUUCUACAGGAAGUGACAAGUGAUAAGUUCUGGCACAGUCCAGGAUGGUAUGAUGUUCUACCAGCACAUGGAUAUAACUAGAUUUGUAAAGGAUAGGUCGCAAUUUUGUCAUUCCCUCGGCCUGGUUCAGGUAGCUCUACUGUAUUCCUCGCUUAGUCGUGUAUUAAGUGUGUAGAUUUUUUCUCUCAGGACAGUAUUGUGAGACCAAAGUGGUCGGACCCUUCUCCGGACCCUGCGCAAGCAGGAGCUACGUGCACCAGGCUGCCCCCUAAAGUAUUAUGAGGGCUGCACUUAUGUACCCAUUUCUUUGCUUUUUAGCUGCACACUCAAGUAAUACUAAUAGGAAGACUGCUGGUUCAAAUGAAGAUGCUGAGUCAGAAUGUGGACGGUUGUUGGUAGAGUCCGCCGCCAUAUGCCUAAUGAUACACGGGAUCCCAGUGGAGCAAUUAUCCAUUUUAUGUUGGGAAUUCAUCCGAUUCUAGCUGCAGCGAGACUAAUGUUCUGGGGAAACUGCAACCUCAAAGCACCUGGUAUCUAACUGGUCUUGGUUCUCUUGCAACAACACAAAGGGAGUAUGUAGUGUUGCAUGCAUUCCCCCAUCUUAAUGUUCAGGUGAUACUUAGCCAAGUCCAACAGAUGAGAUGGCAACGCAGCGGAGGAGGCAACAUCAAAGGAGGAGGAUCCUUCCUUCCCGGCGACGAUGAAGAAGGGACGAUGAGGAAGCAACAACGAUAACUUUCCUUAAACGAAGAAGCAGCCUGAAACAACCUGAAACACUUUUGGCUAACUCAGCGUGCUCAGUCAACAUUAUUACAAUGAAACCACCUUUAGUUCUUCCCAAAACUGCCGAGGGCCACAUUGAUCCAGUUUUUGUAUAAGUUCAAGGUGUAAAUAAUCCGGUCUUAGAGUUCAGGGGAUAUUGAUCCAUCAGAAGGGUUUUAGGGAGAAACCUAUACUUUCUUGAAAUAAAAUGACUACAAUUUUGGGUAUUCACUUAAUUUUGUUAGGUCUAGGUGCUUUUCUUCUAGUACUCAAGGCUCUUUAUUUUUAAAAUCUCCUUUUGGUGGAGAAGGGUGGAUUGUUAGUGUACAUGAUUUAGAAGAUAUAAUUGGUGGGCAUGUAUUGUUGGGUUU